GCCGGGUGUGGUAGUGCACACCUGUAAUCCCAGCUACUUGGGAGGCUGAGGUAUGAGAAUCACUUGAACCUAGGAGGUGGAGUUUGCAUUGAGCUGAGAUCGUGCCAAUGUACUCCAGCCUGGGUGACACAGUGAGACUCUGUCUCAA
ensembl:misc_RNA Metazoa_SRP Metazoan signal recognition particle RNA